GACUCCAACAUACUGGUUCAUCUGUAUGUGGCUGAACAGGGAGCUGUGAUGCCAACUAGACUGGUCCUGAUGGUGGUACCAGACUGGUCACUACAAGAUGCCUGUUACUGAACUACCUCAAGUUGAUGUCCUUGUGGGUCUGCAGUCUUCAGGAAGGUCCUAACUGUUCCAGCCUGGCCACUGGAGGAAUGUUACUGAACUACCUCAAGGUGUGUAGGAUCAACUUUCACUUGAUCUGUUGCCAUUAAUUGUCCUUUAUCGUGUAGAAGUGAUGAUUUCUGGUUACCGCCCCAGUCUGAUGUUAAGCUGACUGAUUGGUUACUGAACUGAUCUAUACUCUAGAGCAGUGUUUCACAAUCCUGGUUCUUGGGACUUAGAUGUAAAGGCUUCGCUUAGACUGACAGCUCAAUUCUGAUCUUUCACUAAUUAGUCUUGAAUAAUCAGACCCAAUGUUGACUGCAGUUAUUUACUUAAGUUUCUAUAAACAUACACUUCCGAGAAUUAAUCGAAAUGUUAUUGGUGUACCCCGGUCGUUUCUGAAAUACUCUGGGAUACCACUUAAGCCUAGUA